UAAUAUUUUUAUAUUACGUGAUAAUUUAUUUCACGGGACACGCACGAAUGCGUUGAUUUUAAUUACCUCGUGAGAGGAAACGAUUUACCGUUUCAAGAAUCUCGAUUUCGUUUCGUUUACCUUGAUUACUCCGCGAUUUCCGUCUAUUCGAUGGCAGCUCUCUGUUCCCCGGUAGCCGGAGGAACACGACUCGAACACGACGCGAUUCUCCGCUCGUCAGCGAUCGGUGAACGAUCCCUCGAUGCCUCGCGAACACGCAAUCGCGUACAUCCGGUCCGGUCAGUCGCCCUUGUAACUUUUGUAAAUAGGAAUUUUCGCACCGUCGCCCUUUCCCUUUUCAUUCUCGACAAACUUCACACGUUUUUCACAACGUAUGGGGAAACAUUCGCUUCUGGAUCGAGUCACUCACACGUUGCUACUUGCGAUCAGUAGCACCUCGAGGAUCGAUCGAGGAAUCUCGAGCGUUUGCAAGAAGGGCAACGAACGAUUGACUCGUUCGUGCUGCGCGUCCUCGAGGAGUUAAAGGAUCGGAGUAUAUAUCGCCUAAGAUAUCAUUGUUCGCGACCUGUCCUCGAAUUAUACCGCUCUAUACUCUGUAAGCAAGGGAGGAAUUUUCCCUUGCCAGUACCCGGAGAUUCGCGCUCGAGAGCGAAAGUGAAAGAGAGACAGAAAAAGAGAGAGAGAGAGAGAGAGAGAGAGAGAGAGAGAGACACAGACACAAACACACACACACACACACAUACACACACACACACAUACACAUAUGCGUGUUACACUCGCAGAGGGAAAAAGUUCGCGAACGUAGGUGUCCACGGCGUGGUAAAGAUGAAUUAUUAAACAAAGUAUAGUAGGGGCAAAAAAAGAAAAGAAAAAGAAAAUAGAGAGAGAGGGGGAGAGAGAGAACAUAGAAAAAAGGAUGAGAGAACAUAGAAAAAAGGAUGAGGAACGAGAGUAAACCUGUAUCUGUCACUCGUUGACGAAACAUUUCCGAAUUCUGCACAUACACUCCUUCACUUUAUCCAUAUUGCGAUCGUGUUUUCACUUACAAAGAGGGAUCGUCUCGUCCAACGAGUUCUCGUCGAUCCAAUUUACCUAAUAAUGUGUAAGAAGAAUUAACUGCCGACGACUGAUGAGACAGUGGGAAGCGGAAAGUAUUAAAAGUAAAUGGAUGGAAAGAAAAAAAAAUAAAUAAAAGACUCGGAAAAAUUAGAAAAAGAAAAGAAGAGAAUGUACCGAAGGAACUGGUCGGGCGAAGACGAUCGAAAAUUACGUGUUGUAUAUAUUAAAUAUAUAUAUAUAUAUAAAAUAAAUAAAUAUAUAUAUAUAAAUAUAUUAUAAAUAUUAUGGUACGAGAUUGAAUAUAAUAGUAAUGAAUAUAUAUAUAUAUAUAUAUAUAUAUAUAUAUAUAUAUAAUAUAUUCUGUGUCGAGGGCACUUGGCUUGCAAUUCGUAAAUAUUAACGGAAUACUUAUUUAUCCACUUGCACUCCAAUUGCCGAGCGACCUGUCGUUAUCCGUGAAUUUUUCGAGAGGAAGACUAUUAUCUAUUGGGGCAGAGUAAUAAGAUUAUAUAUAACUUAAGCGCGAGUUUUAAAGGGGGGGGGGGGAGGGAGCGAACACAAUUUGGGGAGAUCGUCGUGUCCGGUCGUGGACGAUCGAGAAAACGCGACCGGGGUGAGGAACAGUGCGGUUGGUAAUGAAACCAAGGGCGGGAUUAUUUGGAUUAUUUAAGAAACAGAAGAAUCGAUGAAAUCGCGAAUGUACUUGUUGCCAAUUAAGUACCAUUUUGUAUUAUCGUGUUCGCGAUGUCGAAGCGUUGUUCGUGCCGGAUAAGGAGGCUGAGCCGCAUCUGUGUGUCGACGUUUCGAGAACCCUUUGUUUCCGCUAAAAUUGGGAGCACAAACUCGAGAGAGAGAGAGAGAGAGAGAGAGAGAAAAGAAAAAGAAAGGAAGAAAGAAACGCAGAUAUUUUUAAAUACUUUUCAAAUUGAUUUCCCUGUGCGUUCAUCUUCCUUGGUUGAUAUUUAUGGGAUCAUUUUGGUCACGUUGCAUUGCCAACCAGUUUAUUCACGAAAAGUCUCGUUUGGUGGAACAAAACGGGUGUCUCGUUGCGUUCCCAGCGUAACUGCUGUGGUAUAUAUUAUGUGUACGAACGAUUUAAACGUAUUAGUGUAUGUAAUAGAGCCAAACGCGUAAGAGAGAAAGCAACACGCAUGACAGACACGCGAGGGGAUGAUUCGAUGAUACGUUUGAGAAUGUCUCGGUGUCCAGGGCCGGGCGAAAUUUUUUUACACACGCGUACACCGUAGCUUUAUACACGAUUUCGAUGCAUUUUCACAUGUGUGUUCAUGUCCGAAGGAGCCAAAUCUCUACAUUAUUGCCGAUCGUUGCGACCGAGACCGUCAUUUCUUGCAACAGGGUACAAAGACGUUUCAAUUUUACUCGUACGUGCGAGAACAUCUCUUCUACUUCACACACAGGGCAUAUAUCUUCGACAAUCUUUCCCGACAUUAUCGACGAAGAGAUUUUUUUUUAAAAAGCGUCUUUCGACGAAACGUAGAACGAAACAUAUACCUCCGAGCGCAAGUGGUGUACGAUGGAGCAGGCACGAACGAGAGGUAUCCCGUCCGACGUGAAAUGCUCGGUCUUUGCUAAUCGCAACGAGUCGCGCACGAAACGAAAUUUACAAGCGUGGGAGAAAAGAGAGCUACGAUCAGCACAAAAGAAAAUUACUCGUCGGAAAUAACAAUCACUGCCAAAGUAGCCCAACCCCUCCGGGAAAUCAUUUUUUCACGACAAGUCGGAGGCACGAACGGUAGAUCUCGCUCCGUUUCGCCUCGAGUCCCCUCUCGAAGUCUUAACUCUUUAACGCGCGAGAAAUGAAUUUUCGUCGAAGAACGAAGGAGAGAGAGAGAGAGAGAGAGAAUAAUGGAAAAGAGUAGAAGAAAAGGAAAAAAAAAUAGCAAAGAAAUAGACGAGUAUUCGUACACACACACAACCUGUGCUCGAUCUGUUCGGCCCGCGUGCAACGCGACUACGACGAACGAAAGCAUCGUCGAAACGAUAAUCGAUCAACGCGAAAACGAUUGGGUGGAUGUGGGUGGGGGGAAGGAAUCGGGGGAGCUUUAAGGGACACAGAGGUGGAAGUUUUUUUAAAUGGGUAAUUACGCGCGGAUAUACGUUGAUGUACAAAAAAAAAAAGAAAAAAAGAAAAAAAAGAAAAAAAGAGAGAGAGAGAGAGAGAGAAAGGACAAUUCCUUGCGGUAACAUUUUUAAUCGUUAAGCCACUUAUUUCGUAAUUCAUUUCUAUGGUACGCGUUAAUUGUAACGUUAAUUGAUAUUAUUUAAACGCAACGAUGAUCAUGCUGCGGUUAUACCACUCUCGCACGCGCGUACGUCUAUCGUGACACGUGCGCGUAAGUGCAGAGUCUAGAUAGGCUAGAUAUUAUCGACAUUGGAUGAUUUUCCGUUCCGUUCGGUUUCUUUUUUUCUAGGAUCUAUCUAAAAAUCUAAGGGCUACGGAUCGAUGGGCGAGAACGAUUUUUCUUCUCGAGAAUCGCGAAAGGGAAACGUGGCCAAGUUGAAUAUUUGUAAAACUUCUAACGAAUUAACGACGAAAAGAUUUUUAGUGUAAUAUUACGAGAAAGCAUGAUCGUUGGCCAUACAAUGGAGUAUAUAUAUAUUAUAUAUAUAUACAUAUAUUUAUGUUAAGUCUAGGUAUAUUGAAUAUGAUUAUUAAGAUUAAAGAUCACAAGGGAUAUUGGCGAUCGCGAAUACCUGAGAAGCGGUGUUCUCUGAAACAUUUUUAAAAUGUAAAUGAAUAUCAUCGGCGGAACGAGCACGAGCCUGUUUUAUACAGAAUUACAGAAUAGGAUCGAUUACGUUCGAGAAAUGUCGGUUUCCUAGAAUCGUUCGUAUAUCUCACGAUGUAACGAUGUUUUCAAAUUUUUUUCUUUUUUUUCUUUUUAUAACGAGGGCCCAAAAACACGAGCGAAAACACUUUAAGAAUACUUCAGAGAUCGCUGGUUUAAACGUUAAACUUUAAAAGAAAGAUUAAAAAAGAAGAAGAAGAAGAAGGAGGAGGAGGAGGAGGAGGAGGAACGAUUUAAAAGAAAAAUCGCUUUUUAACUAAACGAACAAAAAGAAGGGGAAAAAAGCGAAAAAGAAAAAAUACAAAUAUGGAGUUUUGAAUGUUACAUAAGGUCGAUAAGGUCGAAAUAACGAGAACAGAGAACAUGAAACCUACACGAACCUACACAAAAGCCGCAUCUACAUACAUACACAUACGCGACCACAUACGAGAAACGAAUGCGAGAGUGAAGAACAUGAACAUUUUGUAUCUGUACUUGUAGAUACAACGCAAUAGGCAAGAGUAAAAUCUAAUUAAGAAUUCAAAUGAAAUUAAUAUAUAGAAGAGCUGUAUGUAAUUAAUUGUAAGUUCAUUCAUCGCUAUGAUAUUAUACUUAGGUAUUAUAUGAUUUUUGAAAUAAAACAUUUGUUUUAAAUA